CAGAGUUUGGGAAGCUCUGCUACAAGGAUCAUAGUACAGAGUGGACAAAAACAGCAAACUAGCAGCAGUACUUAUAUUCAGGGUUCCCAAGGCAGCCAGUCCUAUGGUCAGGGCUUCAGACCUCAAGGUGGCAGUUCCUAUGGCCAGG